rnacentral:misc_RNA from 1 species
GAUGAAGAACGCAGCGAAAUGCGAUAAGUUAUGUGAAUUGCAGAAUUCAGUGAAUCAUCGAAUCUUUGAACGCACAUUGCGCCCCCCAGUAUUCUGGCGGGCAUGCCUGUUCGAGCGUCAUUUCAACCAUCAAGCCCUGCUUGUGUUGGGGUCCUGCGGCUGCCCGCAGGCCCUGAAAACCAGUGGCGGGCUCGCUAGUCACACCGAGCGCAGUAGCACAUCUCGCUCAGGGCGUGCGGCGGGCUCCAGCCGUUAAAGCACCCACCUUUCGCAAGGUUGACCUCGGAUCAGGUAGGAAUACCCGCUGAACUUAAGCAUAUCAAUAAGCGGAGGA